GACGAACGAGGGGGGAGGGAGGAACACAUGCAAGUCGAACGGUGAAGCUCCAGCUUGCUGGAGUGGAUCAGUGGCGAACGGGUGAGUAACACGUGAGCAACCUGCCCCUGACUCUGGAAUAAGCGCUGGAAACGGCGUCUAAUACUGGAUACGAGAAGGGUCCGCAUGGGCACUUUCUGGAAAGUUUUUCGGUUGGGGAUGGGCUCGCGGCCUAUCAGCUUGUUGGUGAGGUAAUGGCUCACAAAGGCGACGACGGGUAGCCGGCCUGAGAGGGCGACCGGCCACACUGGGACUGAGACACGGCCCAGACUCCUACGGGAGGCAGCAGUGGGGAAUAUUGCACAAUGGGCGAAAGCCUGAUGCAGCGACGCCGCGUGAGGGAUGACGGCCUUCGGGUUGUAAACCUCUUUCAGCAGGGAAGAAGCGAAAGUGACGGUACCUGCAGAAGAAGCACCGGCUAACUACGUG
rnacentral:rRNA from 1 species